rnacentral:rRNA from 1 species
UACGUAGGGUGCAAGCGUUGUCCGGAAUUAUUGGGCGUAAAGAGCGUGUAGGCGGCCCGAUUAGUCUGCUGUGAAAGUCCAGGGCUCAACCCUGGAAUGCCGGUGGAUACUGUCGGGCUAGAGUCCGGAAGGGGCGAGUGGAAUUCCUGGUGUAGCGGUGAAAUGCGUAGAUAUCAGGAGGAAUACCGAUGGCGAAGGCAGGUCUCUGGGCUGACACUGACGCUCAUGCACGAAAGCGUGGGGAGCAAACAGG